UACUCCGUAGCUCAGUGGUUAGAGCAUCCAACCGGUGUAUGGAAGGUCAUGGGUUCAAAUCCUGUUGGGGCCUUAG
rnacentral:tRNA from 1 species